AAGACAAGGUUGUGGGAAAUCUUUGGCCGCAGUACCAGUAAAUCUUUCAUCAAAAUUGUGCAGCUCUUUCACACGGUGAUGGUUGUGCUAUUGAUGUUUAACCAAACCUAGCAGAAACUUUCUCUGAGCAAAUAAGAGUGGAAGCAAGGCUGGAACUGUAUUCACCUGUCAGCAUCUUCCACAGAUAGACGCCCCCAGCUCACCUUCCCUUGCAGAGCUGCUCCUGAAAACACCACGGUGAAACACCUGCAGCAGGCUGAAGGCCUGUUGUGCUAGUGCAGUGCGGAAGGAUUUAUCCAGCUGCCGGUGGUCAGUCUCUUUGCUUUGAGAUGGUUCUGGGGACGGUGCCUCAAGAUCUGCACUCCUCAUGUG